UACGAAGGGGGCUAGCGUUGUUCGGAAUUACUGGGCGUAAAGGGCGCGUAGGCGGUGUGUCAAGUCAGGCGUGAAAGCCCCGGGCUCAACCUGGGAACCGCGCUUGAGACUGGCACACUCGAGUUCGGGAGAGGAUGGUGGAAUUCCCAGUGUAGAGGUGAAAUUCGUAGAUAUUGGGAAGAACACCGAUGGCGAAGGCAGCCAUCUGGACCGACACUGACGCUGAGGCGCGAAAGCGUGGGGAGCAAACAGG
rnacentral:rRNA from 1 species